UUGUGAGUCUGUACAGUUGGGAAUCUUGUCUUCAACUUGUUUAAAGCAUUUGUUGAGACUGAGUUUUGGUUAGAAUCAAAUGGCUGUCUCAGUAGUUUCUGUUGGUUUAUAAUACAUUUAUAUAUAUUUGCCUGUCUGCUUGUUGAUUAAAAAAAAGUAUAUUUUAUAUUUCUGUUCACUCUUGUGUCUGUGUUAUUUUUCUUGUCCUCUAUUAUAACAUAACUAUUGUAACAGUUUACUCUUUUAACCAUUGGAUUUUUGCUUUACCAACUGAUAAACUAAACUUCAACUGUCUUUGUCUCUAAACUUCACUUUUUUCUGUCUUUACCAUUUUUGCCUCUCUUUCUCUUCUUUACCAGUCUCUUUCUUUUUUCUUGCUUUCCUCUCUUUUUUUUCUCUGGUUUUUGCUACUCUCUUCUCUGUCUCAACAAGAAACAACAUUUGGAUUUACUUCUUUUUACCAUCAUUUUUCUCCUAACCAUUGCUUCAACACACAAAAAACCAUGGAUAUACUUCCGUCUGUUAAUAUUUUCACUGAACUUCAAACUGUCCUUGAUACUGGAUACUUGUCACAAUAUUCAUCUUUAGAGGAUAGUUGGCAACAGACCAUACUGGAAAUGGAAAGAUAUUUGAAAGAUUUACCCUCUCUUUCACUACUGUCCUCAUCCUCAUCCUCAGUCUCCUCUUCAUCAUCAAUAUCAUCAUCCUCUUCUUCACCAACAUCACCAGCUCCAUCAUCAAUAUCUUCACCAGUUUCUUCAUCAAUUUCAUCCUCUUCAUCCUCCUCAUCGUCAUCUUCCUCUUCAUCUUCUACAUCGUCUUGUUUAUCUUCACUUUCAUCUUCGUUGUCAUUUGUAGUUUCUUCGUCAACAACCUCCAGAUCAAAAUUGUCUACAUUAUCUUCACUACCUUCAUCUCCAGCAUCAUUAACAAUUUCAACGGUUUCCUUAAUUAAUUCUUCAUCCUCUACACCAUCAGUAUCAUCAUCUUUGUCACCUUCACCAUCACCAAUUUCCUCUACUUCUUCACCAUCUUCACCAAUAUGUUCAAUUAAUUCAAAGUUAACUUGUAGUGAAGCUCGCGAAGCGGGACAACCAAUUGCUGCCAAUGAAAACAUCCCUACAAAUACCACCAACACUGCUAACAGUCUAAAUAACAUCACCAACACCAAUGUCAACCAUUCAAAUGCACCAAAUGGAGCAAAAUCCAAGGGUCGAUUUGAAAUUAACCCAGAUAACAAUAAACGUCGAAUUCAUAAGUGUCUAUACAAUGGAUGCAAGAAAGUUUACACCAAGUCUUCACAUCUUAAAGCUCAUCAAAGAACUCACACAGGAGAGAAGCCAUACAAAUGUACUUGGCCCGACUGUGAAUGGCGAUUUGCCCGAUCAGAUGAAUUGACCCGCCAUCACAGGAAACACACUGGAUGCAAGCCCUUCAAGUGUAGCCAUUGUGAGCGACGUUUCUCCCGGUCUGAUCAUCUUGCUCUUCACCAAAAAAGACAUCAAUGACAACAAGCUUAUUUUUUCAAAGCUUUUUAUUCUUUCAUAUUCACAUUCAUAAGUUGUUGCCUGUAAUAACCUGUAAAUCAAGUUGAAAAAAAGAAGAAAAAUUUCAAUUCUUUUCAUUUCAUAAUCAAAUUAAUAUUGUUUCUCAUAUAAUGAUUAGUAAAGGAUGAGAAAUUUUUGCACCAAAAAA